CCCUAGUUAGCUCAGUUAGUAGAGCGCUCCACCUGUAAUGGAGAGGUCCCGGGUUGGAUACCCGGACCAGGCG
rnacentral:tRNA from 2 species